AAAAUUAAAAAAAAAAAACUAGAGAAUAAUAGAGGAGACGUUUCUUAAUUAGGAGUUACAAGAAACGUCUCUUACGCGUCUGUUCUUCCUCCAUUGAAGUUUGCUUCCGAUUCGAUUCAAAACCAUGGCCUCUGUAUCCUAGCAAUCUCUUCCCCAAUCUAGCUUCUUCCUCAUUAGCCGAUUCAGCUCCGAUGCUGGCGUAACCGACGGCACCGGAUCCGAUAUCACCGAAGCUCCGAUCAUAGGCGAAACCCGGAGAGAUGUCGCCGAGAUCCAAAAGGACAGGGAUCAUCGCAGUCAAGUGCGGGAUGACGACGCUCUGGGAUAAAUGGGGAGCUAGGGUUCCGGUUUCGAUCCUCUGGGUUGAUGACAACAUCGUCUCUCACGUCAAAAACGUUGAGAAAGAAUCAUCAUCUUCUCUUUCUCUUCCGAGUUUCUUGUGUUUAUUGUCAGAAUCAUUGACUAAUGAGUUUAGUGUUGUAAAAGGUGGAUGCUUUCACUGGCUCUGCUUUCAAAGGUAAUCCAGCAGCGGUUUGCUUCCUCAACUUUGGCAUCUGCUCAUUGUCUCUUCUCCAACGCUUUGGUUGAUUCAGACAAUGUCGAGUUUGUCACAAGUUCAUGGGAAAGAAGGAUCCUUUUUGAUCGAGUUGAAUUUUCCUGUGGUUCCAACUAGCGAUACCAAUCUCACUGAUGCAUCCUUUUCCAUGAUCACCAAGGCCUUGAACGGAGCUACCAUUCUUGAUACUAAAGCUACUGCCACCAACCAAAGAUGGAUGAUAUAUUGAAAUGGCCUUUCGAUGGCAUCAUCUUCACAGCUGCAGGUUCCUUCUGUAAUCACAAUCAGAUCCAAGGGCUGAUUAUCCUUGGUAGAAUAUAAUGAGUGAUCACAUGAUUUGUACUUGCAUUUGAAUCUGACCUUACUCUGUUGAGCUACGAACAAAGCCUUCCUCUGUUGUGAUGCGAAGACAUUUUGUAUUACUAUUUGCUUGUUUUAUUUCUGCCAUCAUUGACAUUGUCCAUCUUUGAGAGUGUAAACUCGUGUCCAAUAAGUUACUUUAUUAAAGGAAAAUCUUCAUGGCCUAAUGGGUUAAUUAUUCACGUUUUGGAAACGAAUGCUGCCGAUGUCCAUGCUAUAGAUGUUUUCUUUAUUAAAGAUAUUGUUGAGUCUGUUUUGCUUGAAGAUGAAACUGACGAUAAGGGUGCCAAAGAUGGGAAGAAAACUAACCGGACUUCUCGUGAGAAGUCUUUGGUGUCAGAUCCAGUGGUGACGAUGGAGUAGCAGUGGCCAUUCAAAAAAUAAGUCCUCCAGGAAACCGCGACAAAAAAUUUAAAACGAGCACACCGUCGAAUACCAGCAACGACAUGUACCAUGCAAGACGGUCACCCCCGCUUAAAAGAAGGAGACAUGAAAAUGAGGAAGGAGAAGACCUACUUCCAAUAGCUAGAUCUGACACCAUAUGUGAGCUACCACCACCGCACUUGAUCAAAGGAACUGCUGAACACUUCCUCACCGUUUAGAUUCGUCGCUACGGCGGUGGCGACGAGGCACAAAGCAAACACACAGAAAGGAAAAAAGGAUAAGAGAUACAAGAAAUAGAAAGAAAAAAAAAGAGAAAAAGGGAGAAGUAACCGACGACAACGGCGGAGAAAAACAUUGGUCACCUAACCGAAGAGCUUGUUCUAGCUUUGUUUUGAGAGAAACUUAUAGAAAAAAAACUUAGAGAGAGAAAUGAGGCUAGGCUCGCCCUUGCCUUAAUUCCAAUUUAUGAUCUAAUGACCAAACUCGUUCCCCCAAA